GACCUGAUAGCUCAGUUGGUAGAGCAUCUCCCUUUUAAGGAGAGGGUCCUGGGUUCGAGCCCCAGUCAGGUCACUA
rnacentral:tRNA from 2 species